rnacentral:rRNA from 1 species
UACGUAGGGGGCAAGCGUUGUCCGGAUUUAUUGGGCGUAAAGAGCGUGUAGGCGGCCAGGUAGGUCCGCUGUGAAAACUCGAGGCUCAACCUCGAGAUGUCGGCGGAAACCAUCUGGCUAGAGUCCGGAAGAGGAGAGUGGAAUUCCUGGUGUAGCGGUGAAAUGCGCAGAUAUCAGGAGGAACACCGGUGGCGAAGGCGGGUCUCUGGGCCGAUAUUGACGCUGAGGAGCGAAAGCGUGGGGAGCGAACAGG